rnacentral:rRNA from 1 species
UAGAGUUUGAUCAUGGCUCAGAACGAACGCUGGCGGCGCGUCUUAAACAUGCAAGUCGAACGAUCUGUAGCAAUACAGGGAGUGGCGGACGGGUGAGGAACACGUAGGAAUCUACCUUGAAGAGCGGGACAACUUUGGGAAACCGGGGCUAAUACCGCAUAGUACAGAGAUGUUAAAGGGCUAGCAAUAGUCGCUUCGAGAUGAGCCUGCGGUCUAUCAGCUUGUUGGUGAGGUAAUGGCUCACCAAGGCUACGACGGAUAGCCGGUCUGAGAGGAUGAUCGGCCACACUGGCACUGAGACACGGGCCAGACUCCUACGGGAGGCAGCAGUUAAGAAUCUUGCGCAAUGGGGGAAACCCUGACGCAGCGACGCCGCGUGAAGGAUGAAGGCUUUCGGGUUGUAAACUUCGGUAGACUGGGAAGAAGAAAUACGUUCGUUGAGGGCGUAUAGUGACGGUACCAGUCUGAAGCCCCAACGAAUUACGUGCCAGCAGCCGCGGUAAUA